rnacentral:lncRNA from 1 species
UUGAGCAGCACAGAGGGGACCCAACCCUCCAAGGUCACCAGGGACACCCUUCUAAGACCCUCCAGGAAUCUGCAAUCCCAUUCUCUACCUCUGGAGAUCAGCAUGGCGGAUGAGUAUGUGAACCUUGGUAACCUUGAACUGGAGACCCCAAGGAACACGGUGCAGUCAGCCUUCAGGGUCCUUGUGAGGGUGCAACUAGGUUGAAUUCUUGUCCUGAGAUGGUAGGAGGCAAGGGUGGUUGGAUUUCUGUAGAAAUGAGGUAAGAAUUCGGGAAUCAGACUCCUGGGGUCUAAGGGAGUAGAAAAGGUAGCCCCAACCUUGUUCAGGAGGACUGCUGUCAAUGAUUCUAUCUUCACGGUUUCUCUCCCUUCAGGAGCAGCGAUGCGGUGAGCACUGUGACCUAAGAAGUGGGGUAGGGAACCCGUGGCCCAGAGAGGGUGCUGCAGGGAGAGGACUGGGGACCGAUGGGCAGGGGAAUCUGCAGCUAGAGGUGAGGAAUCCGGGAAGGACUGGAUGGGAGGGUUGGGGUAGUAAUGUAGCCUGCUUCAAUUUCAGGCUGGGGAACCCCAGCCGGCGCCUGCUCCUGUCCGACGUCGCUCCUCGGCCAACUACCGAGCCUAUGCCACCGAGCCACAUGCCAAGGUGGGGAGGGGUCCUAGAGGACGGUACUUCUGGGUUCAGAAUCCUCUGGGACCCCAGGGGCGGCACCAAGGCCUUG